rnacentral:rRNA from 1 species
UACGGAGGGUGCAAGCGUUAUCCGGAUUUACUGGGUUUAAAGGGUGUGUAGGCGGGCUUUUAAGUCAGUGGUGAAAUCUCCGGGCUCAACCCGGAAACUGCCAUUGAUACUAUUAGUCUUGAAUUUUGUUGAGGUAGGCGGAAUAAGUCAUGUAGCGGUGAAAUGCUUAGAUAUGACUUAGAACACCAAUUGCGAAGGCAGCUUGCUAAACAAACAUUGACGCUGAGGCACGAAAGCGUGGGGAAGUCAAACAGGA